rnacentral:rRNA from 1 species
CCUACGGGGCGCAGCAGUGGGGAAUAUUGCACAAUGGGCGAAAGCCUGAUGCAGCAACGCCGCGUGAAGGAAGAAGGCCUUCGGGUCGUAAACUUCUGUCCUUGGGGAAGAAGAACUGACGGUACCCAAGGAGGAAGCCCCGGCUAACUACGUGCCAGCAGCCGCGGUAAUACGGAGGAUGCGAGCGUUAUCCGGAUUUAUUGGGUUUAAAGGGUGCGUAGGCGGGCUUUUAAGUCAGCGGUAAAAAUUCGGGGCUCAACCCCGUCCGGCCGUUGAAACUGGGGGACUUGAGUGGGCGAG